GGGUAAAUUUGAUUACAAGGUAUUGAAUAAGGUUUUAAUUGAAUGCUAAAAGAAUGGAAUAUCAAAGAAUAACUUUCUUAAAAUUAAAAAUUGAAAUUUUUUUAAUUUGUGUAAAAACAAUUAUAUAAAUUAAAGACAAGAAGACCCUAAGAAUUUUUAAAAUUUAAAUUAACACAUUUUUGUUUUAAUUAAAUUUUAACUGGGGCGGUUAAAAAAUAUUAAAAACUUUUUAAUUUUGAAAAUGAUCCAUUAUUAAUGAAAAUAUGAUAAAAUACUCUAGGGAUAACAGCGUUAUAUUUUUUGAUAGAUCAUAUUGACAAAAAAGUUUGCGACCUCGAUGUUGGAUUAGGAUACUUUUUUAAUGAAGAUAUUAAAAUAAGAAGUUUGUUCAACUUUUAAAUUCCUACAUGAUCUGGUUUUAGACCGAA
rnacentral:rRNA from 1 species